rnacentral:rRNA from 1 species
GGGAGGGGAGAAAAAAGAAAGGGCAAAGCGGGGAAGAAAAGGAAAGCGGAGGCGGAGCUGUCGAGUAUAUCACUUCCCUGUGCACGCCUCCCUCCUCCGUCCCCUCCCCAAAUCCGUCCCCUCGUCCUCCGCCCGCGGCGACGAGCCCCCGCGGCGGGAGGAGAAGAAAGCCGGAAGCUUUGCGGCAUGGCGGAGGCGGCGGAGGCGGGCGUGGCGGCGGCGGGGGCGGCGUCGGCGCUGCUGGACCUGCCGGAGCCGCUGCUGCUGCUCAUCCUCGGCUCCCUCCACGACCCGCGCUCGCGGCACCGGGCCUCCAUGGCCUGCCGCUGCUGCUGCUCAUCCCACCGGGCCUCCAUGGCCUGCCGCCGGCUGCUGGCGGCGGAGCGGGCGACGCGGGCCGCGAUGGCGCUCCGCGGCGACCCGAGGACGCCCGACUUCCUCCUGCUCCCGCCGGCCUUCUGCUUCCCGGCGCUCGAGCGGCUCGACCUCUCCCUCGCCUCGCCCUGGGGCCACCCGCUGCUCUCGUCCGCCUCGCGCGUCGCGGGGGCGCCGGCCUCCGCCUCCUCCAACCACCUCCCGCUCAGCCCGGAGGAGGCCGCCGAGCGCAACGCCUUCGUCGCGGCGCGCCUCGCCGCCUACUUCCCCGCCGUGGCCCGCCUCGCCGUCUACUGCCGCGACCCCUCCACGCUCGCCAGCCUCGCGCCCUGCUGGCGGGCCACGCUCCGCGCCGUCAAGCUCGUGCGCUGGCACCAGCGGCCGCUCGACCUCCCCGGCGGCGCGGAUCUCGAGCCGCUGCUCGGGUCCUGCCCCGCACUCGCGGCCCUCGACCUCUCCGAGUUCUACUGCUGGACGGAGGACGUCGUGCCGGCGCUCGACGCGCACCCGGCCGCCGCCGCCAGGCUCACCGACCUCGACCUCGGCCUCGCCGGCGCCUCCAACGGCUUCCACGCCGCCGAGCUCGGGGCCAUCGCGACCGCCUGCCCCGGCCUCCGGAGGCUCGUCGCGCCCUGCGUCUUCAACCCCCGCUACGUCGACCACGUCGGCGACGACGCGCUGCGCUCGCUCGCCGUCAGCUGCCCCCGGCUCACCGUCCUGCGCCUCAGCGAGCCCUUCGAGCCGGCGUCCACCAGCCAGCGGGAGGAGGCGGGCAUUACCGCCGUGGGGCUCGUCGCCUUCUUUGCCGCGCUCCCUGGGCUGGAGGACCUCACGCUGGACCUCCAGCACAAUGUGCUCGAGGCAGCUCCGGCGAUGGAGGAGCUCGCACGCAGGUGCCCGCGGAUUAAGGUCCUGACGCUGGGGUGCUUCCAGGGGCUGUGCAAGGCCGCCUGGUUGCAUCUCGACGGCGUCGCCGUGUGCGGCGGGCUGGAGUUGCUCUGCAUCAAGAAUUGCGAGGAUCUCACCGACGCCAGCCUUGCGGCGAUCGGCCGUGGCUGUGGGAGGCUUGCCAAGUUUGCGAUCCAAGGAUGUAACCUUGUCACGUCAGAUGGGAUCAGGAGGCUAGCUGUGGCGCUCCGGCCGACAUUGAAGGAGGUCAGUGUGCUGCACUGCCGGUUUCUGCACACUGCAGCAUGCCUUGCUGCUCUGAACCCGAUCCGCGAUCGGAUUGAGAGCCUUGAGAUCAACUGUGACUGGGAGGAGGUUGAACAGCCCAGCUCCAGCUGCGUGGCCAAUGGCACAACCGGAAGUGAUCAUGAGGAUGACGAGCCUAGUGAAAUGGCGUACCAGUCCGCGCCCAAGAAAUGCAGGUUCUCCUACUUGGAAAUGGAUAAUUAUGAAAGCUGGGAAAUGCUCCGCUCACUCUCCCUUUGGUGCCCUGCUGGUCAGCUGCUCUCCCCGCUCAUUUCUGCCGGGCUCGAUAGCUGCCCUGUGCUUGAGAAGAUCUCGAUUAAGGUGGAGGGCGAUCUUCGGACGUGUCCGCGUCCAUUUCAUGGGUCAGCGUUUGGCUUAAGCGACCUUGGAGCCUUCCAGGCGUUGGCCAAGAUGAAACUGGACCUCAGCGAGGCGGUGGGUUAUGCACUCACCGCGCCAACGGGGCAUAUGGAUCUUUCACAGUGGGAGCGGUUUUAUCUGAGCGGUAUCGAGUCAUUGCUGAGUUUGUAUGAACUGGACUACUGGCCGCCCCAAGACAAGGAUGUGAACCACCGGAGCCUGUCACUGCCAGCGGUCGCAUUGUUCCAGCACUCCAUCGGACUCAGGAAGCUCUUCAUCCAUGGCACCACACACGAGCACUUCAUGAGCUUCUUCCAGAAAAUGCCAAACUUGAGGGACGUGCAGCUAAGGGAGGACUACUAUCCAGCACCAGAGAACGACAUGAUGAUCACAGAGAUGCGGGCUGAAUCUUGUCUCCGGUUCGAGCAGCAGCUGAACAACCGGCAAUUUCGGCAAAUUCCUGAUUGAUGCUGAAUUGGCAAUUUCGGCAAAUUCCUGAUUAGUGCUGAAUUGGGUGCACCAUUACAGUGUUUCGAGGUUGAAUACAUCAACACAGAGAGCCCUUGCUCUUGUAUAGUCACCCAGAGUGCUACUCAUGUAUGAGUGUAGUAACUGGAAUUGCUGAGUCCAUUGAUGAUAAGAGUAGAAGACAAUGCCUGAUCAAGUGACAGUGGAGGCAAGAUGAUAAGUUAGCAUUCGAGGGAAUUUUGUCAAGGGAAAAAGUUUUUUAUUUAUUUUCAAGCUGAGCUCAGUUGAACUGCGGCAAGAGAAAUUGGCGUUAUUAUUCUGGCAUCAAAGAUCAAAGGAGCUUCUGCAAGGUCCAAGCAAGCAGCCCAUCAUCAGAGCAGACUAGCACAAUUUGCUGAUAGGAGUACUUGUUAACCCAAAGGCCCCGAACUAACUGAGGAGUGGUUCCGCAAAUCAUAGCAUGACAAGGAGGACAGGACAGGACGGAGAGGCGUGCCGCGGAACAAGAUCGGGCAUCGGAACAUAUUGCAGAAGAUCUCGUAUGGACGCGCGCCCUUCCAAGCUCCGAUCCCAGUACUUAGCUGGAGGCGCCUCAGUGGAGGAGGAGGAUGCUGGUGCUGCAUAGAGAAUUCAGUGCAAAGCUGGCUGCCGUCUGGAAGGGCCAGAUCGAUUGGGCCGCCGUGGAAGAAGAAACGCCGCGGCGGUUGCACGCUGCGGUACUGAUCAAGAGGUUGCACGGUGGGUCGCGCCUCCCUUUUGUCGUGCGGUUUAUCCAUCCGUGUAUGAACCAAAGCUCAAAAAGCAGCCGCAGAUUCUCAAUGCCAUUCCAUUCCAUUCCAUUCCAUGAGUCGGAAAUAUUCGGCAAGUGCCUGCCUGCCUGCUGACAAGUGAUUCCGAGGUCAGAUCGAUUUGCCGAUGGAUGGACGCUUGCUCGAUCGUGGGUUCAGGCGAUGCUGCCAGCAAAAGCGCAAAGCGCGCGCACAGGAUGGGAUACGAGGCGGCCGGAGGACUUUGUGGAUUGUAGGGAGACGGGCAACCAAGUCAAGCAUGUGCAUGUGCAGCUGCGUAUGCAUGCAUGCACCUUGCUCGGAAAGGAGAAAGAGAAAAAGGGUAAAGCUCUGCUGGCUUGGUUUUCCGUUGGUGUUAUCCUCGGCGUGGUUUGAACGAUGCUUUUGGGAUGCUUCCAAAUUAUUUUGGGCCGCUGCUACUUCAUUUUGAUUCAAGGGCAAAAUUUUCCUAGCUUGCCAUUUAUUUGUUUAUUUGGUGUUGUAGCUUGCCUUUUAAUUACAACAAUUGACGAUGGCAUCCAUGCACGAAGGAACUAGAUUAGCCUCUGCUGCGUAAAAUUUGGUAUCCGGAUAAGAUCGGGAUGGAUAAAACAAAUGUGUAUUCUACGUCACGCCAUCGGCAACUG